rnacentral:misc_RNA from 1 species
GUUCGAGCGCCGUGUUAAUACUAAGGCUCAGCCUUGCGUUGGCCGCUCCCCGUCCUUCAGUGGACGGGGCGGCUGAAACACGUCGGCGUCGCGACCUCGAGUUAGCCAGCGUAGCAAGUCUCUCGCCAGCGAACGAAGGUAGGACGCCAGUUCAAACGACGUUUGGCCUCGAAUCAGGUAGGGAUACCCGCUGAACUUAA